rnacentral:misc_RNA from 1 species
CAACCCUCGAACCCCUCCGGGGGGUCGGCGUUGGGGAUCGGCCCUUUACGGGGCCGGCCCCGAAAUACAGUGGCGGUCUCGCCGCAGCCUCUCCUGCGCAGUAGUUUGCACACUCGCAUCGGGAGCGCGGCGCGUCCAUUGCCGUAAAACACCCCAAACUUUUUUAG